rnacentral:sRNA from 1 species
GCCGGGUGUGGUGGCGCAUGCCUGUAAUCCCAGCUACUUGGGAGGCCGAGGCAGGAGAAUUGUUUGAACCCAGGAGGCAGAGGUUGCAGUGAGCAGAGAUUGUGCCACUGCACUCCUGCCUGGGCUACAGAGCGAGACUGCAUCUC